AUUAGAUACCCCAGUAGUCAAAGCAGAAAAAUGAUGAAUGUCAUAGAUUAGAUAAACAAUUUAUUCUAUAAAUGAAAGUGUAAGCAUUCCACCUCAAGAGUAAUUUGGCAACAUUGGAACUGAAAUCAUUAGACCGUUUCUGAAACCAGUAGUGAAGUAUGUUGUUUAAUUUGAUAAUACGCAAAAAACCUUACCACAAUUUGAAUAUUUAUAUAUAUCUUUAUUGGUUUUUACUAAUAUAUUUGUAAAUAAUCAAAAUGAUGCUUAUACCCCGUUUGUGAAACUAAGCAUCAAAAAAGAUAAUAUAUUUACAAGCGUUGCACGGCUGUCUUCAGUUAAUGUCGUGAGAUUUUGGUUAGUUCCAUUAAAUUAACGUAAACCCUUACUUUAUUUUUAUAUAAAGUAGUUCUCCGCUAUAUUGGAUAUGAUAACAGGGACUAAGACAAG
rnacentral:rRNA from 1 species